GGAGAGGAGACGCGUCGCGUUCAGAGGAAGAACAGAGAGCCUCUCACGGCAACUACCCCGGCAGUGGUGCGACUUCGGUGGAGGUAGCGGCAGCGACGUUGCGAAGGGAGUGUGAAUUCUCUUCGCGCGAAGAACAGGGGGCAGGACGGUGAUCCAGCGUGAAUGGUGUUGGCUCUUCCGGCGAAGGUACUGGCGACGCAGCGGACGGUGGCUCGCAGUGGUCAUUCAGUUUGAGGUUGAGGCGCAGUGAGUGCGUGAAGUGGCGGAGGUGAAUUCCCCUAGGUUUUGCUCAGAGGAAGAGACCUGUGUCUCUUUGAUGCUCAACGAACAAAUGGUGAAAUGAAAGGAAAUCUAGGAAACCCCUAAAGAAUUUCUGAUAGGUUUAAGUGACCUUGGGCCUAGCUAUUGGGCAUUCUCUUCGCCUACCACUGCGCCCUUCCUAUUCGCACCUCCAUUCCCUUUCUGGCAAACAAUAAAAGAGGCCUUCGGCCUGGUCAACAAAAUAUCCAGUGGCACCCCCAAAUAUUCACAUUUGCACCCCUUUAUCCAUUUGGGCUUGGGACAAAGAAGUUUCUGCACCUCCAACUUUACUGUUACACCUCUACCUUUGGGUUGGAUCAAGAAAUUUC
rnacentral:lncRNA from 1 species